UGAGUAACACGUAUCCAACCUGCCGUCUACUCUUGGACAGCCUUCUGAAAGGAAGAUUAAUACAAGAUGGCAUCAUGAGUUCACAUGUUCACAUGAUUAAAGGUAUUCCGGUAGACGAUGGGGAUGCGUUCCAUUAGAUAGUAGGCGGGGUAACGGCCCACCUAGUCUUCGAUGGAUAGGGGUUCUGAGAGGAAGGUCCCCCACAUUGGGACUGAGACACGGUCCAA
rnacentral:rRNA from 1 species